rnacentral:piRNA from 1 species
UUGUAACAGGACGUUUAGCGA